AGUCUCUGGCACGCGGGCGAGGUGGGCGUGAGGGGCUGUGACAAGCAGGCUGGCUGCCCUGACCUGAACUGCCCCCAGCCGGCCGCCCCUGCAUCUUCCCUGCUCUUUCCAUCUCGGCCUCGGUUUCCUCAAAGCUCUUCUGGCUCCCGCUAGCGCCAUUCACAUCUCUGAGCCUUCAUCCAGCUCCUCCUCAGGCCUCGCAUCCCAGCCAGGCUGGGGGCAGGCCGCCCCCUGCCCUCCCCAGGCACUCCGCUAGAACUUGAGGUCUCCUAAGUGCUGGGCAGUAUCUGGGCUGUUCCUCCGACCACUGCAUCGUGAGCGUCUCAGCUGGUCUGAAAAGCAAGAUGCGUGGAAUGCCACACUGCACCCCUCCGACAGCACCUUGAUGCGAACGUCCCAUUCAGCAGGUCGUCCCAAAAGCAGACCUUGAGACAACGACGUGGGUGCAGGUCUUUUAUCUGAGGGGACAUCGCAGGAGGCACAGGGAGUUCCUGGGGUGGCCGGCGCGCUGAUCCACUGAUUGGGGCUCUGUGCUCAGGAGCAUCAAGUCCCCUGCCUUUCUGGGAGGCACCCAGCAAGUUCUCUGCUGCCAGAGUGGCCCCCAGGCAGAGAAUAAGAAAGAGGCAAGAGCGUGAGGCCGGAAGUCAUCCUGUGCCAGGCUCGCCAGCAGCAGACAAACUCAGUGGGCGCAAAGGUCUGGGUCUGUUUUCUGUUUACUUACUAGAACCCCAGUGCCAGGAGGGGCUUGGCGCACAGUCCACAAGAGAUGUUUAUGAAGGAACGGACGGAUGCGUGCACGGGGAAUGCCACUCCUUGCUCUCAAGGCCCUCUCAUCCAGCAGAGUUUCAUAUAAAGAGAACCAUACAGUUUGUCCUCCUUUCUGGCUUCCUUCGUUCAGCAUGCUUUGAGAUCCACCCACGUUGUUGAGUGCAUCAGUAAUUGAUUCCUUUUCAUUGCUGAGCAGCGUCUCUUGGAUGUACCGCUUGUUUAUCCAUUCACGUGCUGAUGGACAUCAGGACAAUUUCCAGUUUUGGGCUAUUAUGAAUAAAGCUGUUAUGAACAUAUG
rnacentral:lncRNA from 1 species